AGAUUGAACGCUGGCGGCAGGCCUAACACAUGCAAGUCGAGCGGCAGCACGGGUACUUGUACCUGGUGGCGAGCGGCGGACGGGUGAGUAAUGCCUAGGAAUCUGCCUGGUAGUGGGGGAUAACGCUCGGAAGCGGACGCUAAUACCGCAUACGUCCUACGGGAGAAAGCAGGGGACCUUCGGGCCUUGCGCUAUCAGAUGAGCCUAGGUCGGAUUAGCUAGUUGGUGAGGUAAUGGCUCACCAAGGCGACGAUCCGUAACUGGUCUGAGAGGUGAUCAGUCACACUGGAACUGAGACACGGUCCAGACUCCGUACGGGAGCAGCAGUGGGGAAUAGUU
rnacentral:rRNA from 1 species